rnacentral:rRNA from 1 species
CCUACGGGGGGCUGCAGUGGGGAAUAUUGGACAAUGGGGGGAACCCUGAUCCAGCCAUGCCGCGUGUGUGAAGAAGGCCCUCGGGUUGUAAAGCACUUUCAGUGAGGAAGAACGCCUGGUGGUUAAUACCCAUCAGGAAAGACAUCACUCACAGAAGAAGCACCGGCUAACUCCGUGCCAGAGCCGCGGUAAUACGGAGGGUGCGAGCGUUAAUCGGAAUUACUGGGCGUAAAGCGCGCGUAGGUGGCUUGAUAAGCCGGUUGUGAAAGCCCCGGGCUCAACCUGGGAACGGCAUCCGGAACUGUCAAGCUAGAGGGCAGGAGAGGAAGGUAGAAUUCCCGGUGUAGCGGUGAAAUGCGUAGAGAUCGGGAGGAAUACCAGUGGCGAAGGCGGCCUUCUGGACUGACACUGACACUGAGGUGCGAAAGCGUGGGUAGCAAACAGGAUUAGAUACCCCUGUAGUC